rnacentral:sRNA from 1 species
UGAUUUCCUACCGACAGUGCGUGUUGA